rnacentral:tRNA from 1 species
UCAUUGGUGGUUCAGUGGUAGAAUUCUCGCCUUCCAAGUGGGAGACCCGGGUUUAACUCCCAGGCAACGCA